UGCUGGACCCAUAUAUAGUUCCACCUAGAUUUUGUCCUUAUGUACUCUCUUUUUGGUGGAUUUGGAAACUGUAUUUAAGGACAGUUUCUGGAUGUAGGUCACAAUGGCCAGCUCUGGCCAGCUCUACAGCUUCUAAGCAGUUAGAUGAGUUGAGGUAUUCAAGAGUUGAGCAAGUAUGUAUUGUUCCAGUCCCUACUGAUUAUGGGAGGUCUGCUGUACACUUACCUUACAGGCAUGGCAUUCCCUGGAGUGAGGGCACUGUCUUCCCCUUCCGUUCUCUCUGUGCCUGGAUAGUGCAGACUUGAUCUGGGAAGAGUCAGGCAAGUUCUUUAGGGCUGUGCCAACAUCAUCUCCCCUAGUAGCAUGACUGAGGGACCAGAACACUGGCUGGCAAGGAGAUACCUUAUUUCAAGCCUGCUCUGCCAUGUACUCACUUGUAACCUGGGGCAAGUACUCAUCUCUCUGGGCUUGUAGUUCUUUGUAAAAUGCUCAUAAAAUACAUGUCCUGCCUAUUUCAUGUCUGAGAAGGCAAGUUAUAGCUGCCACACAAAUGUAGAGAAUUAUCUCUGUGACUGGCCUGUUCUUCUCCAUCCCUUACCCCUAGGUCAGAUGGCACCCUUCUUGACUGCCUUAGUCUGUUCAGGCUGCUUAACACAAUACCACAGACUGGGUGGCUUGUAAACAACAUAAAUUUAUUCCCCACAGUUUGGGAGUCCAAGACUGAGGUGCUGGCAGACUUGGUGUCUGGCAAGGCCUGCUUCCUGGUUCAUCCAUGGACAGCAGUCUUGCUCUGUGUCCUCGCUUGGCCAGAAGGGGUAAGGGUCCCUUUAUAAGGGCAGUGAUCCCCUUCCUGAGGGCUUCACCCACAUGACCUAAUCACCCCCAAAAGCCCCCCUCCAGAUGCCAUCACAUUGGGGAUUAGGUUUCAAUAUGCGAAUUGAUGAGGAGGGGCACCAACAUUCAGUCUGUGGCAUGGACUUUGCUAGUUUAUAUUUUAGUGGAUAUUUUUUCAUUAUGCUCUUUUGUUACAGUCCUCUGUGUUCUUAUCUUUUACCCAUUCAUACUUUCUAAGUACUUUGAGGGCAAGGAGUAGGCCAAAGGUCUUUCCAGUGAACCCUGGCCUAUUCUCAGUCGUUACUAUUUGGUUGUACUUGAACUGAAUUAAAUUAAAUAAUUUAAUAAUAACAAUAGUGGUAAUAUUUGUACUGACAACAAUAAUAGCAGCAAAUAUUGAAUGCAUAUUUAUGUAUCAGUUACUGUGUUGAGCAUUUUAUAUGGAAUCUUCUUAACUCCCCAUAGCCAUCCUGUGAGGUGCAGAUGUAUUCCCUUAUUACAUAUGUAAUGUGUAAUGUAUUCCCUUAUUUUACAUAUUAGGAAACUUAUGUGGUUAAUAGUCUGCCCACAGCUGGUCAGCGAGGAUUUGAACCCUGGCUCCUGACUCUGGAGCCCUUUCCCUUAACCCAGUUUGCUCUCCUGCUUCUCGCUUCAUGGGGGAGGGAGGGAUAGUGCUCUGCUGCCCGCCUGCCAUUGUCAUUCAACGUGUGUCAGGCACCUAGAACUGGCCAGAAUGGGGGGGAGCUUGGUGAUUGAUCACCUGGUUGAUCCUCCUGAACUUACCUUUGAAGGAACUGAGUUUCUUGUAGAGGUCAACUGAUAUACUCAAGGCCGUCCAGCUAUUUACUGGUGAUUUUCUGCACAUUUAUUU